rnacentral:rRNA from 1 species
UCGAACCUGUAAAGCAGACCCGUGAACAUGUUCAAAUAAAUUUGUGGACAUGAUGUUGGAUUCCAACGUCAUGGCCGCCGACCCCAAACGACACUAGUCGCUUGGGUGUAAUAAACUAUCGGCGCGGCAAGCACCAAGGAAAACCAAAUCGAUCGCCUCUCCAUGUGGGUGCUGUACUCAACACUCAAAUAUGUGGAGAAGCAUCUAUGAAAAUAGUCAUAACGACUCUCGGCAACGGAUAUCUCGGCUCUCGCAUCGAUGAAGAACGUAGCGAAAUGCGAUACUUGGUGUGAAUUGCARAAUCCCGUGAACCAUCGAGUCUUUGAACGCAAGUUGCGCCCAAAGCCUUCAGGCUGAGGGCACGUCUGCCUGGGCGUCACGCAUCUCGUCACCCCCCAACAUCAUCUUUCCCCACAUACCGCUGGGAUCGAUGCAUGAAACGUCGGGGUGGAAAUUGGCCUCCCGUUGUCAGAGUGUAGCGGCCGGCCCAAAUAGGAAACCGUGUCGAUGGAUGUCACACGAUACGUGGUGGUUGGAUUCCUCAACUUGCAAACUAUCGUGUGGGACUAUCGGACCACGGGCACGACCCAAUGGCAGCAAAUGCCCUCGAUUGUA